GUGGGAGCGCUGCUGCACCGACAGAAAUUCCAUCCGUCCACAAGACAAAGAGAUGGAGAUGGCAAGGGGAGAUGGACUCCCGUGAGCGCCAAAGAUCUCCUUGUCCCCAAAUCCGCAGGGUUUUUCUUAUGCUCAAUCUUGUGGAUCACUCUGGGCCCUCCUCCAAGACUCUCCAGUCUUCCUCUUUCAUCUUCCUCUGCUAUUCUUCCAGUACUUCUCCUCUAGUUUCUCCUCGAGCUUUUCCUUCACUGUUGAUGCCAUACAAGAGUCAUCCUCCGUCACUAUUCUUCUACACGUUCUUCCUGGUAAAUCUUCUCUCCCCAGAAUUCAGCAGCCACUCUGUGUGGAUGAUCCUCCAUCCUGCGCUACAAGCCCUGAAACUCCCACCUCACGCUGACAGCCAUUCCCCUGGAUGGGACCCAUUGGCAAUCUGUUCCGAAAAAGGAAGAAAAGGCAGAAAUUCGCCCACAACUUUUGUCGCUGCAGCCAGGUGACCAGAGAAAUGACGUCCAAGAUGAAAGCCUUGUGCCGGUCAAACAGCUCAGCUAAAUUGGCCUCCUCUAUUGCUGAUGGAAAGCUGAAUUUUCCAGUGAACUUCCACAAAGCUGCCACCUCAUCAAGGGGUUCUGGGAAUGAUAUUUUGAGGAAAAUCUGUCAUGGAAACCUUUGAUUUUCAUUUGCAAUAGAGGAAAGACAUCUAAGGCGAAAGCAACAGCCAGUUGUUUCGCCUGCCGUUCUUGCUCACUCACAAGGCCCGAUGCCAUCCCUUUCCUUUCUUUCUCUCGUUUCUUCCGUCCCAUGUCCUCUCUUCCUUUCAGUUACUCAGCAUCUGACAUUUCCCAAGAGUUUUCGGGGUGCCAAGCACGGAGGCAGUCUCUAAAAGCUACUUUGGAGUCAUCCCAAAAGCUGGGGGACCUGAACCUCCCCAGCCCCUGCAGGUGACGGCAAUUCCAAAACCAAAUGGAAAAACCAGAACGUAGGGAUUUGUUUUACUGAGUGCUGAAACACUUGAUGUAUUAUUGAAGUUGUUAUUAUAGCUUUGGAGCUUGACGUUGUUAUUGUAGUUUUGAAUAAUCACAAACAACAUGUGCAGUACUUCUUGAAAGCAGACACUCACAGCACACUUUACAAAACAGUUAUAAUGCAUGAAACAAAUGUGUACAUUCAUAAAGAUGUAAACAUUAAGCAUACCAUGUUAUUAUAAAUUAGCAGGUAAAAUUAACACGAUAACUUUAAAAAUAGGCUCUCAUGCAUUUUUGAUUAAAAAAUUUAAAACUAUUCUUGAAAUGUGAUAGUGAUAUUAUUCGAUUUUUAAAGAGUAAAAAUUUAAAAAGCAAAGUGUGGGGCUGGGGAUUUAGCUCAGCGGCAAAGCGCCUGCCUGGCAAGCGCAAGGUCGUGAGUUCGGUUCCCGGUACUGGAGAAAAACCACAAAAAAAUAAAUAAAUAAAUAAAUAAAAUAAAAAGCAAAGUGUUUCAAUGUUGCCAUUGUUGAGUUGCCAGCAUACUUCUUUUCUCUGCAAUUUUCUGCAACUGUUGUAAAAGCUCUUUCUAGCUCUGUGCUAGCUGGUGAAUAGAAGGUGAUAUUGUAGAUCAAAUUAUUCCUCUCUGAUUCAGUCACCUUCCAAUUACAUUGCCAUUAAUCCCCCUCAAAGUGGUGCAAACACACUUAUCAUGUCAUUCUUGCCCCUUCCUGAAGCAGUUCUGGAAGUCUUCUUUCCUGUCUGGAGCUGCAUUAUCGUGGCUGCCCCAUGUCCUGAAUACAUUUCAAAUGCUUGCCUUUCAUCGCCAUUUUGACUUUGGGAAAAAGCCAGAAGCUGCAUGACACAGAUCUGGUAAGGAAUGUGCACGAGGGUACACCAGCAUGUUUCUAUUUGACAGAAAUUGCCAUAAACGUUUGAUCAACAAGGUGUAAACAAAAAAUAAACUAAAUAAACAUAAUAAA
ensembl:lincRNA